rnacentral:lncRNA from 1 species
CAAACUUCCACUGCUGUGGGCCUCAACCAGCACAGCUAAAUGUGAGGGGACAAAAGCUUCGCAGCAAAAAGUGUCACCAGAUUGCGCUUCUGACCUGCUGUUCAGCUUCUGUUCUGCUUACAGAGCUACAUAUGGAGGGACUGCUGUUGUGCAGGACAGCUUGCAAGCUGUCUCAUGAAAACUAAGAAUUGUCACCAUAACUUGAAGUCUUGAUGUACAUUUAGUGAGCAAAACUCUUCAUAAUAUCACUCCGUAAGUCUUGAUAUUAAUAUUCAAAUUUUCAGCUUCUUUAUUCAAGUCAAUGGUGAACCUAGAAUAAUAAAAUACAAUGGAAUUGGUGUCGAAAAUGAUU